AACGAACGCUGGCGGCAUGCCUAACACAUGCAAGUCGAACGAGACCUUCGGGUCUAGUGGCGCACGGGUGCGUAACGCGUGGGAACCUGCCUUUAGGUUCGGAAUAACUCAGAGAAAUUUGAGCUAAUACCGGAUAAUGUCUUCGGACCAAAAGAUUUAUCGCCUUUAGAUGGGCCCGCGUAAGAUUAGCUAGUUGGUGGGGUAAAGGCCUACCAAGGCGACGAUCUUUAGCUGGUCUGAGAGGAUGAUCAGCCACACUGGGACUGAGACACGGCCCAGACUCCUACGGGAGGCAGCAGUGGGGAAUAUUGGACAAUGGGCGAAAGCCUGAUCCAGCAAUGCCGCGUGAGUGAUGAAGGCCUUAGAGUUGUAAAGCUCUUUUACCCGAGAUGAUAAUGACAGUAUCGGAAGAAUAAGCUCCGGCUAACUCCGUGCCAGCAGCCGCGGUAAU
rnacentral:rRNA from 1 species